GGGUUUUAGUUGUUUGAUUUAGGAUAUGACGUCAUACUGUUAGGCGUUUAUAAAUUUCAUGUAACUAAGACCAUCUUUAACGCUUCAUAUUUGUGGUCCUUAACAAGAUCCUUAAGCAUUAAUGUUGAUUUAAUUAAAUGGAAAACAAAUAAAUGCUAGAUAAUCGAUCCUUAGUGGGUUGAUUUGGUGACCAAAAAUAUCAAGGGUUUUUAAAACACGUGUCAGCUGCUCAUUUAUUUGUAUUUUUUUUCUUUUUCUUUUAUUUCUUUCUUUCUUGUUUUCGUUCUUGUUUUGUUCUUGUUUUCUCCGCGAGAAGAGACUGAUCGAAACCGACGAUGGAAACGACGAUUCUGUCGGUCCACUCGACGGCUCCUCCGUCUUUGCCGUGAUUAGAAGGAUCGAAACCCACCACGGACGACGACUCUCUCGGUCCUCAGCGCGGCUCCUCCAUCUUAUCUUGUUUUCUCCGUCGGAAGAAGGGUCUAAAAUCCAUCACAAGCGACGCCUCUCUCGUUCCUCACCGCGACUCCUCCGUCUUGUCUCCUCACCUCGACUCCUUUGACUCCUCCGUCUUGUCUCCUCACGAAGACUCCUCACCGUGACUCCUCUGACUCCUCCAUCUUGUCUCCUCACCGCGACUCCUCUUACUCCUCCGUCUUGUCUCCUAACCGCGACUCCUCUGACUUGUCUCCGUUAGAAGAUGGAUCGAAACCCACCACAAUCGACUACUCUCUCGGAGCCCACCGCAUCUGCUCUGUCGGUUCUCGUCUUCUCCGAGUGAAGAAUGGUUCAAACCCAUGACUUCCCGUGUAUGUACUAACUUUCUCACUUCAUUCUUGUGUUUUCAAUUUAAUUGUUAGCUAGCAAACUGGUUUAGACUAUCAUAUUGUUUGAUCUUAAGUUGAUUGUCUUGUUAAUUAUGACAGAGAGUUUGAGCUCUGGACAUGAGGUCCUCCGACUGAAGUCACAACCGGAAGGAGUUCUUUUUUGAAGUUCAGUGCAAACUGUGGGUGAGGUAUGUGUGCAAAAAUCGACUUUAAUUUCUUGCUUGCGACUGAUGAAUGCUUGUUAGAGUUAGGAUGAAUGCUUGGGUUAGUGGUUAGUAUGUAGAGUGAUGAAUGCUUGCCACAAGUGGUUAGUUUAAUGAAUGCUUUGUGAUGAAUGCUUGUUUUAGUGUUGUAAUAGGAUGUGGUUAGGUAAUAAAUAUGGUAGUUACAUGUCUUCUCAGCUCAAAUCUUCUCUUGAGAAAGAGUAAAGACAAUUACUCUCUCGUAUCUAACC
rnacentral:lncRNA from 1 species